rnacentral:rRNA from 1 species
UACGAAGGUGGCAAGCGUUACUCGGAAUUACUAGGCGUAAAGGGCAGGUAGGUGGUUUGGUUAGUCUGUUGUGAAAGCUCCUUGCUCAACGGGGAGAGGUCAACAGAUACUGCCAGACUUGAGUCUAGGAGAGGGUACUGGAAUUCCCGGUGUAGCGGUGAAAUGCGCAGAGAUCGGGAGGAACACCAAUGGCGAAAGCAGGUGCCUGGACUAGUACUGACACUCAGCUGCGAAAGCUAGGGGAGCAAACAGG